AAAGAAAAACAGGUUUACCCAGGAUUUAUCAUGUAUGGAAAAAUGUAAUAUCUAAGUAGGCUGUCUGCUAAUGUCUGGCAUAAUGUUUCUUCAUAAUGGUUAACCCUUUUGCAGGGAGUGGAAUAAGAGUGCCUCUCUCUAGAUGGGAACUUUGCUUCAUGGGACAUUACAAUUUUUUCACUGGAUCUUGGCAGUAAGAGGCCACAACAUUUCAGACUGUGAAAAACGGGGAAUGACAAGCUCAUCCUGUAAUUUGUCCUACUUCACUGGAAUACUUAGAAAUUGUUAUGCAAAACUGCAUGCCUUAAGGCAGAAAACCGCAUAAAGGUAGCUGAGAAAGUAAAUUGCCAGAAGGGAAGAGCACCCUCCCUUUCAAAAUCCUGUAAGUAUUCCUCUCUCCUACAUCAAACCGAUCCUAUGUAGAACAGCACUAGUUGGUUUGAGAUUUCCAGGCUUUUGCAAACGUCUCUCAUCUCAAUGCACACAAGACGACGUGUGCGCACCUGUGUUUACGUCUGUGCACUCUGCUAUUAUCAGUUGUUAAUGAAACUGAAGAUUAUAGGGAGAAAUACGAAAGGCUCACUGCAAAAGCUGAUAUUUUUUUUAAUUUUAUUUUUCCCUAAUAAAAAAUAUUAAAUCCCCUAAGGAAAAGAAUCCUAGAGAUUUGCAGUGAGGAGUAAAGCCGAUGCAACGUGAUCAGAGAACCGCAGACCUCCACCACGUUGAAGCAGCCCAGACUAAGUUUCACAUACUGUGCAUUUGGGGUCUUUCUAGCUGUUCUGCCAGGAGCCUCCUUCUGUUCUUUCGGGAGCCCGGCACAUCAGCAUCGCAAAUUCCUUGCGCACAAUCAAUACAUUUUGCAUAA